AGUCUUGGCAAGAGAGAAGUUUGUGCCAUCAGUUUGCAGUCCCCAUCCCUGCAUACUACAGAAGAGCUCUGGGAAGAGAAUAUCUACACCCAGGAGCAACUUUUCUCCUGGCUUGCCUCCCUGAUUUCAGAUCUGGACCAGAAUCAAACUCUGAACUUCUGCAAAGUUUGGUGAUCAUUAAGGUGGACUUGGGAUCAUAUGGGAAUGCACUGGAAAAUUUGGAGCUGUGUCCGAUACGAUUCAAGCAAUGGAGGAAGUUCAAGGCUGGUCUUCACAGCAUGUGCAUUCUCUUCUAAGAGCUUGUGCCACUCGUAUGCCCUCUAAUUACAUUAACCCAGGAACUGAGGUGUUAGCACCAAAUAUUACAAGUGUGCCAAGAGUGAUUUCUUCCAAGCAUUGAUGCGUAAUCUCAGCUGGUGCUGAAGUCAGGAUGUAUUUUAGCAGAACUUCUUUCAC